rnacentral:lncRNA from 1 species
GUUGCUAUACGCAUGACUUGAAACAUUCAUAAUUAACAUAAGCAGGAUUAACUUCUUUUUAAUCAUUUCUAUGAAGACAAAAGAAACUAAAACGAAAUCUGUUAAAUCUAUAAUUUCUGUUAUUGCUAAUUGAUUAUGGUGUUUGAAAGUAGGUAAUAAUGUAUGGUUUUAACUUUCUAGUGACAAAUUGCAUCAUAAUUUCAAAGAUACUGACACCAUCAUCUCCAAUAAUUGUGAUUUAAAAGUUAAAUCAACCUUCUUAAACCAUCACAAAUAGUUUAAUUUUUUUUUAAUUCAAAAUAGAAAACUUUAUAAUAAAGUUGAGUUCUACUCA